UACAGAGGGUGCGAGCGUUGUCCGGAAUCACUGGGCGUAAAGGGCGCGUAGGUGGCCCGCCAAGUCAGUGGUGAAAGCUCGACGCUCAACGUCGAGUCGGCCACUGAUACUGGGGGGCUGGAGCACUGUAGAGGCUCAUGGAAUUCCGGGUGUAGCGGUGGAAUGCGUAGAGAUCCGGAAGAACACCGGUGGCGAAGGCGGUGAGCUGGGCAGUUGCUGACACUGAGGCGCGACAGCGUGGGGAGCAAACAGG
rnacentral:rRNA from 1 species